GACGAACGCUGGCGGCGUGCUUAACACAUGCAAGUCGAACGAUGAAGCCAGCUUGCUGGUGGAUUAGCGGCGAACGGGUGCGUAACACGUGGGUGAUCUGCCCCAAACUUUGGGAUAAGCCUGGGAAACUGGGUCUAAUACCGAAUAUGACCGAUACUCUCAUGCGUGUUGGUGGAAAGCUCCGGCGGUUUGGGAUGGGCCCGCGGGCUAUCAGCUUGUUGGUGGGGUAAUGGCCUACCAAGGCGGCGACGGGUAGCCGGCCUGAGAGGGCGACCGGCCACACUGGGACUGAGACACGGCCCAGACUCCUACGGGAGGCAGCAGUGGGGAAUAUUGCACAAUGGGCGCAAGCCUGAUGCAGCGACGCCGCGUGAGGGAUGACGGCCUUCGGGUUGUAAACCUCUUUCACCAGGGACGAAGCGAAAGUGACGGUACCUGGAGAAGAAGCACCGGCCAACUACGUG
rnacentral:rRNA from 1 species